rnacentral:ncRNA from 2 species
UACAGAGGGGGCAAGCGUUAUUCGGAAUUAUUGGGCGUAAAGGGCGCGUAGGCGGCUUGGCAAGUGGAAGGUGAAAUCCCUCGGCUUAACCGAGGAACUGCCUUCCAGACUGCUUUGCUUGAGGCCGGGAGAGGCGAGUGGAAUUCCCAGUGUAGCGGUGAAAUGCGUAGAUAUUGGGAGGAACACCAGUGGCGAAGGCGGCUCGCUGGACCGGUUCUGACGCUGAGGCGCGAAAGCGUGGGGAGCAAACGGG